rnacentral:rRNA from 1 species
GUGAGGAAUCUUCCACAAUGGGCGAAAGCCUGAUGGAGCAACGCCGCGUGAAGGAUGAAGGUCUUCGGAUUGUAAACUUCUUUUAUGAGUGAAGAAUAUGACGGUAACUCAUGAAUAAGCACCGGCUAACUACGUGCCAGCAGCCGCGGUCAUACGUAGGGUGCAAGCAUUAUCCGGAGUGACUGGGCGUAAAGAGUUGCGUAGGCGGUUAUGUAAGCGAAUAGUGAAACCUGGUGGCUCAACCACACAGACUAUUAUUCGAACUGCAUAACUCGAGAAUGGUAGAGGUAAAUGGAAUUUCUUGUGUAGGAGUGAAAUCCGUAGAUAUAAGAAGGAACACCAAUGGCGUAGGCAGGUUACUGGGCCAUUUCUGACGCUAAGGCACGAAAGCGUGGGGAGCGAACCGGAUUAGAAACCCCAGUAGUCC